UACGUAGGUGGCAAGCGUUGUCCGGAUUUACUGGGCGUAAAGAGCGCGCAGGCGGUCGAGUAAGUCGAAUGUGAAAGCCCCCGGCUUAACUGGGGAGGGUCAUUCGAUACUGUUCGACUUGAAGGCAGGAGAGGGCAGCAGAAUUCCCGGUGUAGUGGUGAAAUGCGUAGAUAUCGGGAGGAAUACCAGUGGCGAAGGCGGUUGCCUGGCCUGUUCUUGACGCUGAGGCGCGAAAGCUGGGGGAGCAAACGGG
rnacentral:rRNA from 1 species